rnacentral:rRNA from 1 species
GAACGAGGAUAUAUCCUUCGGGAUGUAAGCCGAGUGGCACAAGGGUGAGCAAUGCAUAGAUUACCUACCUUUAGGAUAAGGGCAACUUUGUGAAAACGGAGCUAAUACUUAAUAAUACAAAAGAAAAUAAUUUUCUUUUGUCAAAGGGAGGGUAGCAAUACCUUUCGCCUAGAGAGGGGUUUAUGUCCUAUCAGCUUGUUGGUGGGGUAAUAGCCCACCAAGGCGAAGACGGGUAGCCGGUUUAAGAGGAUGGUCGGCCACACUGGGACUGAGACACUGCCCAGACUUCUACGGAAGGCUGCAGUCGAGAAUCUUUCGCAAUGCCCGAAAGGGUGACGAAGCGACGCCGCGUGGGUGAAGAAGGCCUUCGGGUUGUAAAGCCCUGUCAGGAGUUAUGAAAUGUAAGUGCGCUAAUAUCGUGCUUAUUUGACAAAGGCUCCAAAGGAAGCCACGGCUAACUCUGUGCCAGCAGCCGCGGUAAUACAGAGGUGGCGAGCGUUGUUCGGAAUUAUUGGGCGUAAAGAGCACGUAGGUGGGUUUGCAAGUCAGAUGUGAAAGCCUUCUGUUCAACGGAAGAAUUGCAUCUGAAACUGCUAAUCUUGAGUAUAGGAGGGGAGAAUGGAACUUCUGGUGGAGCGGUGAAAUGCGUAGAUAUCAGAAGGAACGCCGGCGGCGAAAGCGAUUCUCUGGCCUAUUACUGACACUCAGUGUGCGAAAGCUAGGGGAGCAAACGGGAUUAGAUACCCCGGUAGUCCUAGCCGUAAACGAUGGGCACUAAGUAGAGGGAAUUACCUAUAUUCUCUCUGCCGUAGCUAACGCAUUAAGUGCCCCGCCUGGGGAGUACGGUCGCAAGGCUAAAACUCAAAAGAAUUGACGGGGGCUCGCACAAGCGGUGGAGCAUGUGGCUUAAUUCGAUGCAACGCGAAAAACCUUACCGGGGCUUGACAUGAUAGAAGUAGGAACCUGAAAGGGGGACGAACGGUAUCCAGUCCGUAGCUAUCACAGGUGUUGCAUGGCUGUCGUCAGCUCGUGUCGUGAGACGUUGGGUUAAGUCCCCUAACGAGCGAAACCCUUGUUUUUAGUUACCAGCGGGUUAUGCCGGGUACUCUAGAAAGACUGCCGUCGUCAAGACGGAGGAAGGUGGGGAUGACGUCAAGUCAUCAUGGCCCUUAUGCCCCGGGCUGCACACGUGCUACAAUGGUCGGUACAGACGGAAGCGAAGCCGAGAGGUGAAGCGAAUCCUAAAAAGCCGAUCUCAGUUCGGAUUGGAGGCUGAAAUUCGCCUCCAUGAAGUUGGAAUCGCUAGUAAUCGCGGAUCAGCAAUGUCGCGGUGAAUAUGUUCCCGAGCCUUGUACACACCGCCCGUCAAGCCACCCAAGCAGGAUGCACCCGAAAACAUUAUAUCUAACCAGGGCAACUUGGAGGAAAAUGUUGAAGGAGUGUUUUGUGAGGAGGACU